GGACAGUGACAUCCUGUUACGGCUUUUCCGAGACGCAGAAGGGUUAAUGAACCUCCCAGAAGCCCUGAUUUCCUCCCAGUGAGUCACUGGGCACAGAGGAGACCAGACCCAUAUAUCCUCAUGACAUCUAUUGGCGAGAAGUGGUUGCUGCCCCCUUUCAGACCAAGCAAGGACCAUUUGUCAUAGUCAACACCACGUGCCCUGACUAGUCUCUGUGGACAUUUGAUUUUUGUGAUCCCAGAUAAAGCAGAAGACCACAUAAAGAAACAGUGGCAAGACACUGUGUAACCCAGCUUUUCAGCAGAUACAGAUAGUUACACCGUGCUUCAACAUGGCAGACACUAGCCAGGCAAGGUCUCUCUGAAUGGCACCAUAACUGCUACCUGGUUCAUUUAUCUCUGCUCUUAGCCCCACUGGCAAGCUCAAUCUUGCCCCAGGCUCUGGGAGCAAUAUUUUCAAGUGGGGAAAUUAAAGACAUAGAAGUAAGACA